rnacentral:misc_RNA from 1 species
AAGUCGUAACAAGGUUUCCGUAGGUGAACCUGCGGUUGGAUCAUUAACAAAUUUGUCUUGAUUGGCUCCGGGUGGUCCGUCUCUCGUGGACGGUUCGCACGGUCCCACAUCAACCAACCCCAUCUUAUUUUUUUUCCAUUCUCAUUUUUCAAUUUUGCUCUUGGACGCCAACGGACUUUGCGUGCGACUCUCUUCGGAGGUCGGGCAGGAGCCCGGAGGUGGUUCAUCUGAAAAAAACAUAAAACAACUUUUGGCAACGGAUCUCUUGGCUCUC